rnacentral:lncRNA from 1 species
CAAAAUCUCUUUAUAAAUAAUUAUUUUUUUCUUUGACUUUUAAAAAAUCUACAUUUUAUCCCUUUUAAAGUUUUAGAAGUAUUUUUUUAAUAUAUUUCUAUCAUUUUGCAAGAGAUUUUUGGUAUAAAUUAAAAAAAUAAAAAAAUAAGUAUUUAUAAGAAAGUUUUCUAUAAUCUAACCUUCUAAUUAAUCAACCAGAAACAU